rnacentral:rRNA from 1 species
GACAGAGGUGCCAAGCGUUAGGCGGAAUCACUGGGCGUAAAGAGCGCGCAGGCGGUCGUUCAAGUCGCGUGUGAAAGCCCCCGGCUCAACUGGGGAGGGUCACGCGAUACUGAUCGACUCGAAGGCAGGAGAGGGUAGUGGAAUUCCCGGUGUAGUGGUGAAAUGCGUAGAUAUCGGGAGGAACACCAGUGGCGAAGGCGACUACCUGGCCUGUUCUUGACGCUGAGGCGCGAAAGCUAGGGGAGCAAACGGG